rnacentral:tRNA from 1 species
GCGAGGGUGGCGGAAUUGGCAGACGCCCUGGACUUAGGAUCCAGUGCCGCUAGGCGUGGGGGUUCGACUCCCCCUCCUCGCA